CAUAUUCAUGUGCUUGCUUGCAUUGCAUAAGUUUUUAAAUUCAAUAUGCAUGCUUGUGUGGUGUAUGCUAGUUAUAGAACUUGAAUGAUGAUAUGAUUACUAGCAUGCAUAGGUUGGUAGCUAGACUUGUGUUCUUCAAGUAAAGACUAGACCCUUGCUCUUAAUGUUGAUCUCACGGGGUUUCUAGUGUUUUUGUUGUCUAGCUACUCAUGGUGCUAAGGAUGGUGUACAUUGAAUGCUUCAAAUGCUAUCGAAUUUGGUAUCGAGCUACAAAGGUUUAUUCUAUACACCUUAG
rnacentral:lncRNA from 1 species